rnacentral:ncRNA from 2 species
ACGAUUCAGAUUAAGUUCGGUUCUAGUAAGUAUCAUCUACUAGAGGUAACGGGGAAAGUUCGGUGUGAAUCCGGCGCUGUCCCGCAACUGUAAGCCAAUUUUAGGUUUGGAUAAUUGCACCUUUGGAUAAUUAUAGGUUUAGAUAAUUAGAUCUAGAAAAGCGAUCGGUCCAAAUUCUAAAGUUGUGUAAGUCAGAAUGCCCGCCGAUAACUCAAAAAACAU